rnacentral:rRNA from 1 species
AGUGAACGCUGGCGGUAGGCCUAACACAUGCAAGUCGAACGGCAGCACAGGAGAGCUUGCUCUCUGGGUGGCGAGUGGCGGACGGGUGAGGAAUACAUCGGAAUCUACUCUGUCGUGGGGGAUAACGUAGGGAAACUUACGCUAAUACCGCAUACGACCUACGGGUGAAAGCAGGGGAUCUUCGGACCUUGCGCGAUUGAAUGAGCCGAUGUCGGAUUAGCUAGUUGGCGGGGUAAAGGCCCACCAAGGCGACGAUCCGUAGCUGGUCUGAGAGGAUGAUCGGCCACAAUGGACCUGAGACACGGUACAGACUCCUACGGGAGGCAGCAGUGGGGAAUAUUGGACAAUGGGCGCAAGCCUGAUCCAGCCAUACCGCGUGGGUGAAGAAGGCCUUCGGGUUGUAAAGCCCUUUUGUUGGGAAAGAAAUCCAGCUGGCUAAUACCCGGUUGGGAUGACGGUACCCAAAGAAUAAGCACCGGCUAACUUCGUGCCAGCCGCCGCCGUAA